GUGUGUGUGUGUGUGUGUGUGUGUGUGUGUGUGUGUGUGUGUGUGUGUGUGUGUUGGUUUUUGUGGUUUACGAGGACUUUUGACCUGAAUACGCACCAGCAUUACGGGGACAUUUGGGUUUAUGAGGACACAGGCCAUGUCCUUGUAAUUCCGGCAAUGUAGAUGCCUUUCUCUAUGUCCCAGAAGCACCCUCUCCAAUUUUCGCGGCAUGUCCUUAUAUACCACAAAAACCUGAUUUUAUACCAUACACUGUGUAUCCUCUGUGUACGAGAGUGCGCCCCUGCAGCCGGGUCCUGGUACUGUACCGGCGUCAUCGAAAAUUUGCAUUUUUCACACAAGUGUAAGUAUUGAGGCCUGUGAUUGGUCAGAUCGCUACUGGUAGGCGGGAAAUCACGAAAACAAGAUGGCGCCGACGGGCGGAGCCUAAUUCCGCAGCCCCUAUUGGCUGCAUACGCAAUGAACAACAAGCGAGACAAGAUGGCGCCGGUGGGCGGAGCCUCAUUCAGCUUCAGCGUAGAAACUCUGCACCUGAGAAGACAUCUGAGCACCUGAUGGCGAGGCUGCUGUUAUUUU